CCUACGGGUGGCAGCCGUGAGGGAUAUUGGUCAAUGGGGGAAACCCUGAACCAGCAACGCCGCGUGAGUGAAGACGGUUUUCGGAUUGUAAACCUCUGUCCUCUGUGAAGAUAAUGACGGUAGCAGAGGAGGAAGCUCCGGCUAACUACGUGCCAGCAGCCGCGGUAAUACGUAGGGAGCAAGCGUUAUCCGGAUUUACUGGGUGUAAAGGGAGCGUAGACGGUGCAGCAAGUCUGAUGUGAAAGGUCGGGGCCCAACCCCGGGACUGCAUUGGAAACUGUUGAACUGGAGUACAGGAGAGGUAAGCGGAAUUCCGAGUGUAGCGGUGAAAUGCGUAGAUAUUAGGAGGAACACCAGUGGCGAAGGCGGCUUACUGGACUGUAACUGACGUUGAGGCUCGAAAGCGUGGGGAGCAAACAGGAUUAGAUACCCCGGUAGUC
rnacentral:rRNA from 1 species